CGGCGGCUUCCAGUCCCACCCGGAGCAAGACAGUCACGUGCCGCGGUCACGUGGCCCAACGCGGAAGCGCGGCUGUGGGAUUCGGGCAGGCCCGGCAGCGUUUGGGCCGCGAUCUGCAUUUGCAGGACAGAGGAUGCGAUGCUGCUCUUCUGUGAGCUGGUCACCAAGUCUGUCGACAGCAGCCCUUUCUGACCCUCUGGCUGCCUGGAAGCUCUGCUGUGCCCCUCACCAAGAUGAAGUGCGUCUUGGUGGCCACAGAAGGCGCAGAGGUCCUCUUCUACUGGACAGAUAAGGAGUUUGAGGAGAGUCUCCAGCUGAAGUUUGGGCAGCCAGAGAAUGAGGAGGAAGAGCCCCCUGCCCUGGAGGACAGACUCAGCACCCUCCUUGCCCCAGUCAUCAUCUCUUCCAUGACGAUGCUGGAGAAGCUCUCAGACACGUACACGUGCUUCUCAACAGAAAAUGACAGUUGUCUAUAUGUCCUUCACCUGUUCGGAGAAUGCGUGUUCAUUGCCAUCAACGGAGACCACACAGAGAACGAGGGAGACCUGCGGCGGAAGCUGUGCGCCCUCAAGUACCUGAUCGAGGUGCACUUCGGGCUGGUCACGGUGGAUGUCCAGCUCAUCCGAAAGGAGCUACGGCCCCCAGACCUGGAGCAGCGCAGCCAGGUGUGGGAGCGCUUCCAGAGCCUGCUGUGGACUUACAGCCGCCUGCGGGAGCAGGAGCAGUGUUUUGCUGUGGAGGCUGUGGAGCGGCUGAUUCACCCCCAGCUCUGUGAGCUGUGCAUAGAGGCCCUGGAGCGGCACGUCAUCCAAGCUGUCAACUCCAGCCCCGAGCGAGGCGGCGAGGAGGCCCUGCAUGCCUUCCUGCUUGUGCACUCCAAGCUGCUGGCCUUCUACUCCAGCCACAGUGCAAGCUCCCUGCGCCCAGCAGAACUCCUGGCCCUCAUUCUCCUGGUUCAGGACCUCUACCCCAGCCAGAGCACAGUGGAGGAUAACGACACUCAGCGUUCCCCACGGAGGCCCCGGAGCAGCCAGAACAUUCCUGUGCAGCAGGCCUGGAGCCCCUCGGCAGGCCGACCCAGGGGUGGUUCUGCAGAGACGGAGCCCGACAGCUUCUCGCUCCCUGAAGAGUACUUCACACCAGCUCCUUCCCCGGGCGAGCAGAGCUCAGGCAGCACCAUCUGGCUGGAGGGGGGCACCCCACCCAAGGAUGAGUCCCAGAUACAGAUAGCUGAAGACACCCUCCAGACACUGGUUUCUCAGUCCCCGGCGGCCUCCAGCCCCAGAAGAAUUUUCCUGGAGGCCCAUGUGAAAGAAAGCCUGUGCCCCACAGUGCCCCACACCAUGUACUGCCUGCCCCUGUGGCCGGGCGUCAACAUGGUGCUCCUGACCAAGAGCCCCAGCGCCCCCCUGGCCCAGGUCCUGUACCAGCUGCUGGAUGGGUUCUCCCUGUUGGAGAGGAAGCUGAAGGAAGGACAAGAGGCCGGGGGCGCCCUGCGGUCACACCCCCUCGUAGGUGAUCUGCGUCAGAGGAUGGACAAGUUUGUCAAGAAUCGACGGGGACAGGAGAUUCAGAGCACCUGGCUGGAGUUUAAGACCAAGGCCUUCUCCAAAAGUGAAUCGGGAUCGUCCCGGGAGCUCCUCCAGGCGUGUGGGAAGGUGAAGCGGCAGCUGUGCGCCAUCUACCGUCUGAGCUUCCUGACCUUGGCCCCGGGCAGGGGAGGCCCGCACCUGCCGCAGCACCUGCUGGCCCUGGCCCAGGAGCGCCUGCAAGAAAAGCUGGCCGACUGGAAGGACUUUCUGUUGGUGAAGAGCAGGAGAAACGUCACCUUGGUGUCCUACCUAGAAGACUUCCCAGGCUUGGUGCACUUCAUCUACAUGGACCGCACUACUGGGCAGAUGGUGGCUCCUUCCCUGAGCAUCAGUGAAACGACUACAUCAGAGCUGGGCAAGGGGCCCCUGGCUGCUUUCAUCAAAACCAAGGUCUGGUCUCUGAUCCGGCUGGCGCGCAGAUACCUCCAGAAGGGCUACACCAUGCUGCUGUUCCGGGAAGGGGACUUCUACUGCUCAUACUUCCUGUGGUUCGAGAAUGAGAUGGGAAACAGGACUGUGUGUGCUUGGUUGGCCCCACGGGACAAUGGAAUGACCAGAGUAUGGGGUGGGGGGACCCAGGUUUGCUGCUGGGUGCACCUCCCAUAGCCCAUGCAGCUCUGGACGGGGCACUUAAUGCUGCCGCAUCCGUCUCAGCCGCAGCGGGACACAGUAGAGCCAAGGUGAGCGCGUAACUGGGAGCACCAUGACUGCGUCUGACGCACAGUAGGUGCUCAGCAAGUCUCAACCCCCUUCCCUACCUUGUUCCUUCAGAGCAGAGACUCGACCUUUGAUAACACGUUGCUAUUCCAGAAGGCCCACAUGGCACUUGCCAGGAGCUGUGCUUGAAACCUGAUAUGCUUAGCUCCUGUGUUCAUAAGGUGCUUGUUAUCCCCACUUUACAGAUGAGAAAACAAGGUCCCCUGUUUUCCCAAGCACCAAGCAUACCUAGCACAGCUGAGCCGGCCUUGAACCCAGUGGGUCUCGCUGAAGCCCAAGUUUCAGCCUUCACACCCACUGCCUCCCCGUUCUCCAGCCCCCCUUCUUCCUUCCGCAGGGCUAUAAACUUCAGAUAAUCGAGAUGCCCAUCCUUUCCGAUGACUCAGCUCCCGUCAGCAUGCUGGGAGGAGACUACUACAGGAAGCUCCUACGCUACUACAGCAAGAGCCACCCGGCCGAGGCCGUCAAGUGCUACGAGCUGCUCACC